UACGUAGGGUGCAAGCGUUGUCCGGAAUUAUUGGGCGUAAAGAGCUCGUAGGCGGUCUGUCACGUCGGCUGUGAAAACCCGAGGCUCAACCUCGGGCCUGCAGUCGAUACGGGCAAACUAGAGUACUGCAGGGGAGACUGGAAUUCCUGGUGUAGCGGUGAAAUGCGCAGAUAUCAGGAGGAACACCGGUGGCGAAGGCGGGUCUCUGGGCAGUAACUGACGCUGAGGAGCGAAAGCGUGGGGAGCAAACGGG
rnacentral:rRNA from 1 species